UACGUACAAGCAGUGGGAGCACCCUUCGGGGUGUGACUGCGUACCUUUUGUAUAAUGGGUCAGCGACUUAUAUUCUGUAGCAAGGUUAACCGAAUAGGGGAGCCGGAGGGAAACCGAGUCUUAACCGGGCGUUAAGUUGCAGGGUAUAGACCCGAAACCCGGUGAUCUAGCCAUGGGCAGGUUGAAGGUUGGGUAACACUAACUGGAGGACCGAACCGACUAAUGUUGAAAAAUUAGCGGAUGACCUGUGGCUGGGGGUGAAAGGCCAAUCAAACCGGGAGAUAGCUGGUUCUCCCCGAAAGCUAUUUAGGUAGCGCCUCGUGAAUUCAUCUCCGGGGGUAGAGCACUGUUUCGGCUAGGGGGCCAUCCCGGCUUACCAACCCGAUGCAAACUGCGAAUACCGGAGAAUGUUAUCACGGGAGACACACGGCGGGUGCUAACGUCCGUCGUGAAGAGGGAAACAACCCAGACCGCCAGCUAAGGUCCCAAAGUCAUGGUUAAGUGGGAAACGAUGUGGGAAGGCCCAGACAGCCAGGAUGUUGGCUUAGAAGCAGCCAUCAUUUAAAGAAAGCGUAAUAGCUCACUGGUCGAGUCGGCCUGCGCGGAAGAUGUAACGGGGCUAAACCAUGCACCGAAGCUGCGGCAGCGACACUGUGUGUUGUUGGGUAGGGGAGCGUUCUGUAAGCCUGUGAAGGUGUGUCGUGAGGCAUGCUGGAGGUAUCAGAAGUGCGAAUGCUGACAUAAGUAAAGAUAAAGCGGGUGAAAA
rnacentral:rRNA from 1 species